rnacentral:rRNA from 1 species
UACGUAGGGCGCAAGCGUUGUCCGGAAUUAUUGGGCGUAAAGAGCUCGUAGGCGGUUUGUCGCGUCUGCUGUGAAAACCUGAGGCUCAACCUCGGGCUUGCAGUGGGUACGGGCAGACUAGAGUGCGGUAGGGGUGACUGGAAUUCCUGGUGUAGCGGUGGAAUGCGCAGAUAUCAGGAGGAACACCGAUGGCGAAGGCAGUGUUCUGGGCCAAGUACUGACGCUGGAGGAGCGAAAGCGUGGGGAGCAAACAGG